CGUAGGGUGCAAGCGUUGUCCGGAAUUAUUGGGCGUAAAGAGCUCGUAGGCGGUUUGUCGCGUCUGCUGUGAAAUCCGGAGGCUCAACCUCCGGCCUGCAGUGGGUACGGGCAGACUAGAGUGCGGUAGGGGAGAUUGGAAUUCCUGGUGUAGCGGUGGAAUGCGCAGAUAUCAGGAGGAACACCAAUGGCGAAGGCAGAUCUCUGGGCCGUAACUGACGCUGAGGAGCGAAAGCAUGGGGAGCGAACAGGAUU
rnacentral:rRNA from 1 species